rnacentral:lncRNA from 1 species
AAAUAUAAGAAUAAAAAAGUUAUAUAAUUUCCUCCAAUUUCAAAAUUUGAUUUCUCUACCGCUAGUCACCAUUUAAUCAACACCACCUGGACAUAGAUCUACUCCUCGAUAGCUCUCUGAUGCUCGGUGCGGUUUAGGAAGAGAGUCUCCUUCAAGGCCUUAAUCAGUCACUGUCAUUUCAUUCUAACUGGAAAUCGGUGCUGCUUAAAAUGGGAAGAAGUCAGAAGUGAUAGAGUGGUGGUCUCCGGUAAGACGCAUGUGGAGAAGGUCAUCAAUGUUACUUGGUGGUUGCCAUGGUAACGGAUGCUGGCAUUGAGGAAAGAUCCCUUAUCAUUAUUAUUAUUAUUAUUAUUUUUUAUCUUUUUAUACAUUAAAUGUGCGACAAAUAGCAUCACUAUGUUUUCGUAAUUAAAUGUUAAACUACCAUUAUUUGGUAAAUAAAAUUUAUAAUUACUAUGCUUGUGUUAAAAACUCUGUGAACACGUCCAAGUUAUGAAAUUAGCCGAAGAGAAUUAAUGAGGUUUUGAUUUUAAGUUUGUGAAGCUAAGGUUAUCAGGUUUUGCAUUGCAGUAGGUGAAAAUCAUGUAUAGUUUAGGGUUUUGAUACGGAUCUAUUAUGGACGGCAUUCUUGACAUUAGGGAGGAUUCCGGUGGAGAGAACAAAGUGGUUUGGGGAAAACGUAAUGUGAAUAGGUGAUGGUGGAAUAUUCGUUCAGGACAUAUCAGUCAAUUAUACUGUAGGGGAAGAAGCAAUAUCAAUCUUCCACUAUAGAAAGUAAAAUUAUUGAAUUGAUUAAACACGGACAACACGCAACUCUUUCUCCCAGAUUCCCAGUAAUUCUGUUGAGUUUCACUCCCUUGUCUUUUCAUUGCUUUGUCCAUUCUUCCACAUGAUGAGGCUAUUCCUUGAAAUUGUCAUCACCCCUCCUACCUGUUGCAUAGAAAUUUCCGCUCUGUGUUGAUGACAACUAGUUCUUAAUUUAUAUCUGAUCCUAUCUCCUAUUACAUUCUUCACAAGAAUUGUACUACAGACCAUCAUAACUAUCCAAGAUUAUGUGCUCUGAAACUUCUGAAAGUGAUAGGUUGUUAUUAACUUCAGUACAACCAUGUCGUCACUUUUCUCUUGCAGAGAUUAAAUCCGCCUCCAAGGACUUUGAUGAUAAACUGAUCAUCGGACAAGGAGGGUUUGGUAAAGUUUACAAAGGUUUUAUGUAUAUUGAAGAAACAAG